AUUGCACGCUGGCGGCAGGCCUAACACAUGCAAGUCGAGCGAGCGGCGGACGGGUGAGUAAUGUCUGGGAAACUGCCUGAUGGAGGGGGAUAACUACUGGAAACGGUAGCUAAUACCGCAUACCAUCAGAUGUGCCCAGAGGGGAUUAGCUGGUAGGUGGGGUAACGGCGCCCCUAGGCGACGAUCCCUAGCUGGUCUGAGAGGAUGACCAGCCACACUUGAACUGAGACACGGGCCAGACUCCUACGGGAGGCAGCAGUGGGGAAUAUUGCACAAUGGGGGCAAGCCUGAUGCAGCCAUGCCGCGUGUGGGAAGAAGGCUUUCGGGUUGUAAAGCACUUUAAGCGGGGAGGCGUUACCCGCAGAAGAAGCACCGGCUAACUCCGUGCCAGCCGCCGCGGUAAUUC
rnacentral:rRNA from 1 species